rnacentral:rRNA from 1 species
AGCGAACGCUGGCGGCAUGCUUAACACAUGCAAGUCGCACGGCGUGGCGGUCGGGUGAGUAACGCGUAGGAACGUGUCCUGGGGUGGGGGACAGCCCCGGGAAAAUGGGGCUAAUACCGCAUACCUUUGGGGCGGCCUCCUUCCGAUUCGGUGGUUGGUGGGGUAAAGGCCUACCAAGCCUGCGAUCGGUAGCUGGUGUGAGAGGUCGACCAGCCACACUGGGACUGGGCCACGGCCCAGACUCCUACGGGAGGCAGCAGAGUGGAAUAGUGGACAAUGGGGGAAAGCCUGAUCCAGCACGGCCGGGUGGGUGAAGAAGGUCUUCGGAUCGUAAAGCCCUUUCGACGGGGACGCGGUACCCGUAGAAGAAGCCCCGGCUAACUUCGUGCCAGCAGCCGCGGUAAUUC